UGGCGUGUCGUCAGCUCGUGUCGUGAGGAUGUUGGGUUAAGUCCCGCAACGAGCGCAACCCUUGCCUUUAGUUGCCAGCAGUUCGGCUGGGCACUCUAAAGGGACUGCCGGUGUUAAACCGGAGGAAGGUGGGAUGACGUCAAGUCCUCAUGGCCUUUAUGACCAGGGCUACACACGUACUACAAUGGCCGAUACAAAGGGCAGCGACAUUGCGAAAUGAAGCCAAUCCCAUAAAUUCGGUCUCAGUCCGGAUUGGAGUCUGCAACUCGACUCCAUGAAGUUGGAAUCGCUAGUAAUCGUGGAUCAGCAUGCCACGGUCGAAUACGUUCCCGGGCCUU
rnacentral:rRNA from 1 species